GACAGAGGCCCCGAGCGUUAAUCGGAAUUACUGGGCUUAAAGGGUGCGUAGGCGGACCAGCAAGUGCUUUGUGAAAGCCCCCGGCUCAGCCGGGGAACAGCGGGGCAUACUGCUGGUCUUGAGGCAAGUAAGGGUUGCGAGAACUGUAGGUGGAGCGGUGAAAUGCGUAGAUAUCUACAGGAAUGCCGAUGGUGAAGACGCGCAACUGGGCUUGUCCUGACGCUGAGGCACGAAAGCGUGGGGAGCAAACAGG
rnacentral:rRNA from 1 species